rnacentral:rRNA from 1 species
CCAGACUCCUACGGGAGGCAGCAGUGGGGAAUAUUGCACAAUGGGGGAAACCCUGAUGCAGCGACGCCGCGUGAGUGAAGAAGUAAUUCGUUAUGUAAAGCUCUAUCAGCAGGGAAGAAAAUGACGGUACCUGAGUAAGAAGCCCCGGCUAACUACGUGCCAGCAGCCGCGGUAAUACGUAGGGGGCAAGCGUUAUCCGGAUUUACUGGGUGUAAAGGGAGCGUAGACGGCAGUGCAAGUCUGGAGUGAAAGGCGGGGGCUCAACCGCGGAAUGGCUUUGGAAACUUUUUUGCUGGAGUACCGGAGAGGUAAGCGGAAUUCCUAGUGUAGCGGUGAAAUGCGUAGAUAUUAGGAGGAACACCAGUGGCGAAGGCGGCUUACUGGACGGUAACUGACGUUGAGGCUCGAAAGCGUGGGGAGCAAACAGGAUUAGAUACCCCGGUAAU